CUACGGAGGGUGCGAGCGUUGUUCGGAAUUAUUGGGCGUAAAGAGCAUGUAGGCGGUCUGUUAAGUCUGGUGUGAAAGCCCGGGGCUCAACCCCGGAAGUGCAUUGGAUACUGGCAGACUUGAGUAUGGGAGAGGAAAGCGGAAUUCCGAGUGUAGGAGUGAAAUCCGUAGAUAUUCGGAGGAACACCAGUGGCGAAGGCGGCUUUCUGGACCAAUACUGACGCUGAGAUGCGAAAGCGUGGGGAGCAAACAGGAUUAGAAACCCGGAGUAGUCC
rnacentral:rRNA from 1 species